UGCAUCCACUGGACACUGGACAUGCACCCACUGGACACUGGACACGCACCCACUGCCCACUGGACACGCCAGGGCAUUUCACACGGGCACCGCCCCGGGAAGUGGGGAGGUCCACUGGCCAGACUGAGCUCCCCCAAGAACUGGAGUUAGGGCCGGAGAGAGUUGGGAUGAUUCCAGACACACAGCCAUCUGCGGGCCGAAUGGCCUCCUCCUGCACCUAUUUUCUAUGUUUC